rnacentral:rRNA from 1 species
AUUGAACGCUGGCGGCAUGCUUUACACAUGCAAGUCGAACGAGUGGCGGACGGGUGAGUAACACAUCGGAACGUACCGAGUAAUGGGGGAUAACUAUUGGAAACGACAGCUAAUACCGCAUAUUAUUCGAGCGGCCGAUAGGGGAUUAGCUGGUUGGCGGGGUAAAGGCUCACCAAGGCGACGAUCCGUAGCGGGUCUGAGAGGAUGAUCAGCCACACUGGAACUGAGACACGGACCAGACUCCUACGGGAGGCAGCAGUGGGGAAUGUUGCACAAUGGGCGCAAGCCUGAUGCAGCCAUGCCGCGUGUAUGAAGAAGGCCUUCGGGUUGUAAAGUACUUUUGUCAGGGAGGCGUUACCUGAAGAAGAAGCACCGGCUAACUACGUGCCAGCAGCCGCGGUAAUUC